CCGAAGGGGGGGACCUGCCUCGGGUACUCGAGCUGCUCCCGGUCGCCCAGCCGAGGAGCGGGGUCGGAGGGGCCCGGGACGGCCGAGAAGCUGGUCUGCGCCCCCCCUUGGUGCUGCGGGGCUUUGGAGAAGACCCCCGAUCUCCAGCCCCUUCCCUCAAACCUGUGAGACCGUGGUCCGGUUCCGGGGCAGCCCAUCCUCGGGUUCCCCAUUUGUAGAAUGGGGGUCCCCAGCCCCUAUGCAGAGACAGGAAAGUAUUCAGAAAACUGCGAACAGUGUGGACUCCGGGAAGGAGACGAAGGCCCGGAAACAUGAAGUGGCCGCCCAAGGGGCUCAGCCAGUGCCCGGCAGGAGGAGAAGGGCAAGGUGCCCACCCUGGGUGAAUGAAUGUUGGAAGUGGAGAGAAGCGAAGACAAGAAGUAGCACCAUCAGAACUUACAGGUAUACCUCGGAGAUAUUGUGGACUUGGUUCCAGACUAUUGCAAUAAAGUGAGUCACACGAAUUUUUUGGUUUCCCUGUGCGUACGUUUUAUGUUUACAUGAU